UGUGUGUGUGUUAGAGAGAGAGAGAAUUACUCUUGAGUAACCAUCAAGUAUGAUAGUCAUGCUUCUAGUCCCUCUUUAAGAGCUAAAUCUUAUAGGAUCUUGAAACUUGAUGUGAGUCGUACAGACAAUCCUGAAUAGCAAAUCGUAGUCAGAGCUGUGUCAUGGGUGCAGCUUUGGAAGGUGCAGGAAAUUUACAUACAUGUCAUACAUAAUCAUACCUUAACUUCAGGCACGGAAGAAGUCGGACUACGUUGUGAUUGGCAGGAGCCUCAGCCAAUCAGCUGAGAGAGUGAGAGAGAUUGUGAGCAAAACAAAACAAGACAAAUGGGAGUGAGAGAGGGAGACUGAUACUACACUUUAAGAACAUUUUCUGGCCUUUUUCUUGCUGAACAGAUCAAGUGUUCGGGAGGAUGAUGAGGUAGCGAGGAUUGCCGGGACCUUGUUGUAAAGACGAGACACAAAAUCACCGAGUGCAUAUUUGCUGUGAGAGUGUCGUCCUAUUGUGCUGAAAGGAUUUGAGGUGCUCACCUCUCUUGGGCGAAACAAGUGGCGAUAACGAUGAGGAGCAAUGUGGCAUGGCUGUUAUGCCUGCAUCUGCUGUGUGCCAUGUCCACACUCAGGGCAUAUCCUUUCACACCUCCUCUGGACCUAGAUGUCACUCCCAGAACUACUGUCCCUUUGAAAGAGUUGUGGAAGAGCAGACGCUUCAGUGGCUCUGCUGUGAACUACAGUACGCUUCUGCUGGAGGAGGAGCCAGGUUUGCUGUAUGUGGGAGCUAGAGGGGCGUUAUAUGCCCUGCAGGCCUCUGAUAUCUCCAGCUCCAGUCACACUAUUGACUGGGAGGCACCUGAAAACCAGAAGCAGCUCUGUCUGGACAAAGGCAAAGAUAACAAGAGUGAAUGCUUUAACCACAUCCGAUUCCUGCAGAGAUUUAACAGCACCCACUUAUAUACGUGUGGAACCCAUGCAUUUAGCCCACAGUGUGCAUAUAUUGAUAGUAAGGAGUUUAAAAUGUCUUCUGUGUUUGAGGAGGGUCGAGAAAGGUGCCCUUAUGACCCUGCUAAAGGCUACACAGGCCAUCUUAUUGAUGGCCAAAUGUACACGGCUUCUCAGUAUGAGUUCUGGAGCUCUCCAGACAUUCGUAGGAACUCUCCAAACCCCAUGCUGAGAACAGAGGAAGCCCCCACUCGUUGGCUUUAUGAGGCUGAUUUUGUGGAGUCGGCACUGGUGAAGGAGAGUGUGAAUAGCUCCAUGGGAGACGACGAUAAAAUUUAUUUCUUCUUCACGGAGAAGAGUCAGGAGCACAGUCUGUACUCCGGCUACAGCAGGGUGGCCCGUGUGGCCCGUGUGUGUAAGAGUGACAGAGGUGGUCUCCUGACCCUGCAAAAAAAGUGGACGUCCUUCCUGAAGGCUCGGCUGGUCUGCUCGCUCCCCGACUACGAGUUCCACUUUAAUGUUUUACGCAGCAUGUUUGUGCUGGAGGGCCCCAGGGCUGAAGACACUAUGCUAUAUGGCAUCUUUGGCCUGGAAUGGAAAAACGUCAAAGCCUCUGCCAUCUGCCGCUACUCAAUCAAAGACGUCCAGCAGGUCUUUGAAGGGCCCUACAUGGAAAGCCAGGAGGACGCUGGCGCCAAAUUGACUGAGUACACGGGGAAGGUGCCUGAUCCGAGACCUGGCUCGUGCAUCACAGAUCAACUCAGGGAAAAAGGCAUCAAGCUCUCCACUGACCUGCCAGACGACGUGCUGCAUUUCAUACGCCGUCAUCCACUAAUGUCUCGACAGGUUCUUCCUCUAGGACAACGCCCCCUGCUGUUUCGGAGGACCGUAGACUACACUAAAAUAGUGGUGCACAAAGUGACAGCUCUAGAUGGCCAGACUUAUCACAUGCUCUUUAUUGGGACAGAUGAAGGUUGGCUCCAAAAAGCAGUAGAAGUUAAAGGUCAGCUUCACAUUAUUGAAGAGCUGCAGCUGUUUGAGGAGCCACAGCCUGUGAACAAUAUAGUCAUCUCUCAGAAGCAGAUGAGUGUGUAUGUAGGCUCACCCUCCGGUGUUGUACAGCUGCCCUUGUCCACAUGUCACAGAUAUAUGUCCUGCUUUGAUUGCGUGUUAGCACGGGAUCCAUUCUGUGCCUGGGAUGGGGCUGAAUGUGUAGAGAUCACCUCACGCACAGACAGAUCCAAUCUGACUCAAGACAUCCUUAAUGGGAAUGAAGGCUGUGCAAAAUCUGCAGCAGAUGGCUUGGUGCAACAUCGUGUUCGCUCCGUGAUGGCAGGUGAUGAUGUGCUUCUGCAGUGUGAGCUCAGCUCUAAUCUCGCAACCCCACAGUGGACAAGGAACGCCAAGCAGCUGAAGGGCUAUGGGCUGAACUCAGGCUAUCGCAUUGGCACUGAUGGCUUGCUGGUGAUUGAGGCAAAACCAGAGCAGAGUGGCAACUACAGUUGCUUCGCUCUGGAGAAUGGCGUCCGAAUCCACAUAGUGAUCUACACUUUGAUUGUGCAACAAUACCUACCACUGCCACCUCACGCAACGCUCCAUCCCAACUCCAAUGGCAGCAAUCUAGCACCACAACCUCCCUAUCCCCUCCCACCACAGUUCCAGUCUGUGAGGAACAUGGAGGCCAUGUACAUCACUCUGAUCACCAUCCUUGGUGGAUUGUGUCUGGUCCUGACUGUAGUGCUGCUGUAUGUGGGUUUCUGUGUGCAGAGCAAACGGGGGAAGUACUCUCUCCGAGCAGCAGCCCAAGCUGACAGAAAGAAGAAGAGGAAUGACCGCAUGGAGCUGAAGACUAUCUCCAGCCACUGUAACGGGAAAGCAAAACCACCCGAUGGACUACUGCAGAUUGUUCCUGGAGAGGCCCAGGUUUCCUCCAAUAAAGAGCUUCCUCCUGCACCUCCACUUCCUCCACCUCCAUCUAACUCUGAGUUGGACUACACCAAUGGCUUCUCAGCCACACUGCCAAGUGUCUUACGCAAAAUGAACGGCAACAGUUACGUGUUACUGAGACAAACUGACGGAGACACCACAUCUCCAAUGUACUACUCUUUCACCGAGGAGCUCAACCAGAUUCUGGAGAAGAGGAACCACACACAACUGUGUAGCAAACCUGAUGAGAGUUCAGUAUAACCCUUCACAAACAAUAUGGUACCUGCUAAAUGCUCAGAAAGGAUUUUGUUGCAGCUACAGCCUAUAUUGCAUUCAAACAGAAAAUGGAAAAUAGGCUGACUGAUGAAAGUUUCUGUUUUAUAUUUUCCUGUCUAGUGACAUUUUUUUUUUAAUUGUCUCUUAUUUUAAAGAGAAUGGAUUCACUGAACGUGAAAAACAAGAACAGAACAAAAGUAGUGACACAAACACAUAAUGCAUAAUCUACCUCGGAAGACUGUUGCUAUAAUAAGAGCACUGUGUUCCACUGGGAGUGUGAGAUGGGAGGUGGCGAGGAACAGCAGGUACAGAAGUCUGCCUGUGUUGUCAAAGCAUGGAUGCUUCACAUGAAAUGCAGAGGAAAAGGUCCGGACAGAAACAUGCAGGAUUAUGGAAUAUUUUAAUCCAUUGGUUAAAGAAACUGCUGGCUGGAGUCUAAUAAUUUCAGAAAAAAAAAACACUUUUAAUGUGGAUGUGGCUGCUUCGGAGCAAUACUGCUGAACUGCACUAAAUGUUGAUAUUUUCUAUUGAGAUAAUCUGCUAUUUAUGUCACCACUGACCACACUGAUGACUCAACUAACUGCAUUUAAUGCACCAGUGAACACUGAGAGACAUUAACAUUAUGACUUCAGCUUUUAUAGCUUGAUUUUUGAGGAAAAACAUGAGAGUGAUAGUAUUAACUAAUGGGUUGCACUUUAAGAGCGAAAGGCAUUUGUUGUAAAUGUUGCUUGUUAUGCAAGAGCUAGAGCGUGCUGCGAGGAUCAGAAUGGAAAUCCUGGUUUUGUAAUAUAAAAAGAGGAUUCUUCAAAAAUCAACACAGUUGCUGGGUCAGAGUCAAACGCUUUACUAACCACUAAAUGAACAUGUUUUUUUUUUUAAGGAUGACACUAUUAAGACAUUUCACAAUUCAUAAACCAGACAAAAAGAAUUGUAAACAGUAAACAGUCAUUCUUCUCUGGUUCAGAGCCAUUCUCUGUCUCAUGUGGUUUGCUCAUGACUGAGUGUUGGUACACUUCCCAUCUUUCAUCGCUGGAACUUCAGAAAGUCUAACCUGCCAGUUAACCAUGACAACAGAGAAGCAGAGGUUUGAAGAUCAGUUUGCUGCAGGCUCAUGCUUUGCCUCAAAGAGAGGGAAUAUCCAGUAAGCCAGAAAUGAAGCACUUUAUAAACAGUGGACUUUCAGCAUGAAGUAAUGGAUUUAUCAAAGAGAAAUAAUGGAAGCACAAGUGUUUUUAAAUAAUUGGGUCAAUAGUUUGUAGUCCCGCAGCUCUGUACAAAAAUGCCUUCCUGAGUUUACAAAAGCAAUCUGAGUAAAUCAAUCUUAAUCUUAAUUUGCCCCUUUCCAACUUUAUCCAUUUACAGUGGGUGUUGAAUAUGGGUCAGUGUUUAUAUCAAAUUCUUGUACAUUUUAUAUUUUAUUAUUUAUUUUCUUAAACAUUUGUGCAAGUAAUGAUGUAUGUCUAAACCUUUUUUUUUUUUUUUUUUUUUAAGUUUUUUAACAAAAUUAUACCCCUGGCAUCAGAUGUUCUCUUUAUUUUAAUAAAGGAAGUAGCAUUUAGGCAUCCAUUAAGUGCAAACUGUAUUUCAUAUAUUUGGAGCUUGUAAUAAAGACCUAUAUUUCAGGCUCUCAUGAGAAAACCGUUGUAUGCCUUGUGAGUGGUAUUCAGGAGUGUGUAGGCUGUCUCUGGAUCUGCACGUAGAAACAGUUUAGAGUUGUGUCUGGACAAGACUGAGAGAAAUUACAGUCAGCGUGCAUGGUUCUGACAUGCUCACGUGCUCUCUCUGUGGGAAACACUCAGUCACCCCGAGCUGUGUGUGUCCAGACAGGCCUGCACUCAGCUACACAGGCUAAAUAUGGAAGUGAAUAUGACUCCAGGGAGAACAUACGAGUGGUGCUUUGUGUUUCAGUGCUGAUAAUGCAAUUAACAUGUGAGCUGAGGGAUGUGCAAUGUGAAUUAAUUGAAAGUGUAUAUUUACAGUUCCUUCUCAUUAAAUCCCAAUCACGAUGUUGACACCUCCAAAAGCUUCUACUUUUGUUCUUAUGAAGUAACCCUAAAACUUCCUUCAGGGAGAAGCGUCAGCAAUAUUUAGGUAUUGUCCGUGGCAGAUAAAAUCAAAUCAAGUUCCUCUUUUGAGUUCUGCUAUCCAUUACCUGGGCAAUAAACAUUUUGUUGUCUUGCUUAUAACUUUGUCAGUAGAAAACAGAGAGUUGAAAUGAGGUUACAAUCUAGUAUGUUUAAGGAAAUUGAGCUGGAACAGCUUGUUCUGCCCGUUAUUGUUUCGUAGUCAUGAGGCAUCGGAUCUGUUUACUCCCAAAUUGCUACAGGGAGAGACACACUCGCAAUACAUCUUCAUUAAGAAAAUUCAUCCACUCCUCUGUGUUACAGGUUUGUUGUCAGCAUGCCAAUAUUCACUGUAAAUCUGUGUAUAUAACAAAAUCGUGGGUGAAUAUGAAAAAAAAACGAACACCUGAUAUUUUUUAUCUGUUAAAUGAUAUAAAACA